UACGAAGGGGGCUAGCGUUGUUCGGAAUUACUGGGCGUAAAGCGUGCGCAGGCGGUUUUGUAAGACUGUCGUGAAAUCCCCGGGCUUAACCUGGGAAUGGCGAUGGUGACUGCAAGGCUAGAGUUUGGCAGAGGGGGGUAGAAUUCCACGUGUAGCAGUGAAAUGCGUAGAGAUGUGGAGGAACACCGAUGGCGAAGGCAGCCCCCUGGGUCAAGACUGACGCUCAUGCACGAAAGCGUGGGGAGCAAACAGG
rnacentral:rRNA from 1 species